ensembl:lncRNA novel transcript
CAGACCAGAUGUGGUUUGCAGAACUUUCUGGAGCUUUAAACAGUUGGAGGCUAUCUGUCCCUUCCGGGGGCACCCUGCUCAGUCAGGAUACAGACUUCAGACAGGGAGCCUCCCUCACCACAGCCUGAUGGCUCAUCUUCCAAAGGGCUUCCGUGCUUUCAUUCUUUGCUAACAAACACAACUGAAAUCAGGAGAUCUGGAUGCAUCCUGGACAAGGGAGACACAACACAAAUCCCUCUAACAGAUUAUGGACAUGGUGAGCUAGACAUGGAGACAGGCCCAGAGCACAGAGAGAGCUGGGAUGAAGAAUGCCUACCACAACCCAGGGGAGGCCUGGGUUUCAGGAACAGGUAACCCCAGGGCCGAGCCUUGAGGGGUCAUUGGUGUGCCAGGGAUUUCUGGUAAUGAUCACUCUUCAGUGGAGGAGAACAAGAAAUAAACAAUCACUGUGGCUCCUCUCUCCAGAACUUAUGGAGAAAAGCCCCGACCACCUGGCCUUCUCUUCGCUUCUUGACAAAGUUACUGAUUUCACCUUUGUUCUUCAGUGAUCGCUGUUCUCCAGGAGAAAAAGCUAUUUGUUUAAUGAGACUCCUAUGUCCUGCUGGAAAAGUGAAUAUUGAGAAGGGGGGCCUUAGGAAGCUCUGGUGAAAACCCAGGGCUUCUAAUUAAGCCAGGUCUUCUGCUCACCCAAAGACCCAGCCUGGACUUCAGAACAAAUCACCUGAAGCCUGCAUAUUUCAAUAAUUUAAUAGGACAGAUUUCCCAGGCGUGUUUUGAGGGCAGGAGGUCAUUUUCAAGUAAGAAUUUUCCCAGAAGUAACAAGCAUAUCUUUACACUGGGCCUUUCUUAGUUGAAGUUCAUUAUGGAAACAGCAAUUCUUCUAAAAUAUUAUCUACCCAAGGACUGGCAUGCAAAGUCUUCCAGGAUCUAGUCCCGGCCUACCUUCCAGAUGAAACCAUUGUCUACUGAACCUUCUAUGCUCUAGCCAUGUGUAUUAGUCUCCUUGGGCUGCCAUAACAAAAUACAUAGACUGGGUGGCUUAAGCAACAGAAGUUUAUUUUCUCACAGUUCCGGAUGCUAAAAGCCCGAGAUGAAAGUGCCAGUUUUUUGUGAGGGCUCCGUUUUUCGCUUGUAGGCAGCCACACUGUGUCCUCACAUGGCCUCUCCUUUAUUACAGCUCUCUGGUGUCUCUUCUCAUUUGGACAAUAAUCCCAUUAAAUCAGGGCCCCACCUUUAUGACCUCAUUUAGUCUUAAUUACUUCCUUCCUUACUCUUAUUACAGCCACAAAUGGAGGAGUUAGUUUUUCAACAUAUGAAUACUUGGGAGGACACAACAUUCAGUCCAUAACACCAAGCUGCGGAUCCUCACACAGGACUUGGGCUCUUCUACUGCCAGGGCUUGGCUCCACCCAUUUCCUUGACCUGGAAUGGCUUUUGCCCGGUGAAUUCGUAUUCCAACUCUCUCUGCUACAGAUGCCAUCUCCUCCACAAAGUGUUCUCCAUCUCCUUCCCCAUUCCUCCCCCAGUUGGAAGCGAAAGUUCUCCUGGCUUUUUUCAGGUUUACAUAGGAUUUCUUUUCUCUAUUUCUCUCCUUGUAUUCUUGUCCUGGCCCACUAUCUAGGCUGUGGCUUUCACUUCUGGCUGUGCAGAGUUAUUUUAGAGAUUUUAAAAGUUCCAAUGCUAAGCCCAAUUCCAGACCUCCUGAAGAAGAAUCUCUGAUGAUGGGGCCCAGGAUCACAUGUCUUAAGGAUGGGACCGUAUUAAUAUGUGGCAAUGAGGGAGUGAAAGCAACUGCACUAGCAGCAAACUCUGUGGGAAUGUCAUCCUUGCAGAGACAACAUGGUGCCUUUCUGUGCUUGGUAUUAUUUCUUAGCUCUUUGCUGACAUCUUCUUUAGUGGUACAUUUCCUAGACCACCUGUCCACCAGGGUUCUGGGUGCAAGUUUGGCUCUGCCAAUGAGAUGCACUGUGUGCUCAUCUCAAUUUUGUGGACCCUGGGGGACAGCAGACAAACUUAGCAAUAGGUCAUCAAAGAGAAAGAAGAAAUCCUAUUUAUUGAACUCCAGUGAAGUGCUGGAAGUUGUGCUAGAUGCUUUACAAUACUUUAUUUUGUUGGGGUGGUAAAAUAUACAUAACAUAAAAUUCACCAUUUUAACAACUCUAAAUUGUACAAUUAAGUGGCAUUUAGGACGUUGACAAUGUCGUACAUUUAUUACCACUAUCUAGUUCAAAAACAUUUGCUUCAUCUCAAAAGCAAAUCCGGUUCCUAUUAAGAAGUCACUUCCCUCUACUCCGAGCCCCUGGCAGCCACUAAUCUGCUUUCUGUCUUGAUGGAUUUGCCUAUUCUUGUCAUUUUAUAUAAAUAGUGAUAUACACUAUGUAGUAUUUUAUGUCUGGCUUCUCUCACUUAACAUAUUGUUUUCAAGGUUCACCCAUGUUGUAGCAUGAGCCGGCACUUCAUUCCUUUUUAUAAUGAAAUAAUAUUCCAUUUUAUGGAUACACCACAUUUUGUUAAUUCAUUUACUGGUUGAUAGACAUUUGGGUUGUUUCCACCUAUUGGCUAUUGUGAAUGGUGCUGCUAUGAGUAUUUAUGUGUAAGUUUUUGUUUGAAUAUCUUUUUCUCAAUUCUUUUUUUUACAUACUUUUAAAAGCAGAUCUUAUUUGACAAAUAAAGAAAUUACAUCUUGCUGAUGAAUGGAUGAAGAAAAUGUGUUACAUAUACACCAUGGAAUACUACUCAGUUAUAAAAAGAAAUGAAAUAAUGUCUCUUGCAGCAACUUGGAUGGAGCUAGAGGCCAUUAUUGUAAGUGAAGCAACUCAGGAAUGGAAAAGCAAAUAUUGUAUGUUCUCACUCAUAAGUGAGAGCUAAGCUAUGAGGACACAAAGGCAUAAGAGUGAUAUAAUGGACUUUGGGGACUCAGGAAGGGAGGCUUGGAGGGGGUUGAGGGAUAAAAGACUACAUAUUGGGUAUAGUGUACACUGCUUGGGUGACAGGUGCACUAAUAUCUCAGACACAGACAUCACCACUAAAAAAUCUUAUCCCCAUAACCAAAAACCACCUGUACCCCAAAAAGUAUUGAAAUAAAUAAAAGAAAUUA